rnacentral:rRNA from 1 species
UACGAAGGGGGCUAGCGUUGUUCGGAAUUACUGGGCGUAAAGCGUGCGCAGGCGGCUUCUCAAGUCAGGGGUGAAAGCCCAGAGCUCAACUCUGGAAUUGCCUUUGAGACUGAGUGGCUUGAGUACGAGAGAGGUGAGUGGAAUUCCCAGUGUAGAGGUGAAAUGCGCAGAUAUCGGGAAGAACACCCGUGGCGAAGGCGGCUCUCUGGGACGGUACUGACGCUGAGACGCGAAAGCGUGGGGAGCGAACAGG